CUGAUAAAAUAACAAAUAAUGGGAAACUACAGAUCAGAAUAUUAUAUGCUUCACCAAUAGGUUCCCUGUAUAUCAGAAGAUCAAAUAUCAAAACGCACCUCAGCACACUGCAAGUACAACCGCAAUGCCAAUUCAGGUGCUGGAACACCAUAUAGGGUCUCAAUAGUCUAAAACAAGCAGCAAUACACAUGAUCAAUACGUAAAAGAAGUGAAAUGCAUUGAUUUACAACCGCAAUGCCAAUUCAGGUGCUGGAACACCAUAUAGGGUCUCAAUAGUCUAAAACAAGCAGCAAUACACAUGAUCAAUAAGUAAAAGAAGUGAAAUGCAUUGAUUAAACAUGCCAAAGAAAAAACAAAUUCAAGACAAGUUGAGCCAAUCCCUGCAAUGUAAACAACAUAGACAAUGCAAGAAGAAAUGCAUGAACAUCCUAGUUCCAGAAAGUUCCUUUUAAGUGUGAUUCCAU
rnacentral:lncRNA from 1 species